AGGACGAACGCUGGCGGCGUGCUUAACACAUGCAAGUCGAGCGGAAAGGCCCUUCGGGGUACUCGAGCGGCGAACGGGUGAGUAACACGUGAGUAACCUGCCCUGGACUUUGGGAUAACCCUCGGAAACGGGGGCUAAUACCGGAUACGACUUUUCCUCGCAUGGGGAUUGGUGGAAAGUUUUUCGGUCUGGGAUGGGCUCGCGGCCUAUCAGCUUGUUGGUGGGGUGAUGGCCUACCAAGGCGACGACGGGUAGCC
rnacentral:rRNA from 1 species